rnacentral:rRNA from 1 species
CCUACGGGAGGCAGCAGUGGGGAAUAUUGCGCAAUGGGCGAAAGCCUGACGCAGCGACGCCGCGUGAGGGAUGAAGGUUUUCGGAUCGUUAACCUCUGUCAGAAGGGAAGAAACUACAUUGUGCUAAUCAGCAGUGUACUGACGGUACCUUCAAAGGAAGCACCGGCUAACUCCGUGCCAGCAGCCGCGGUAAU